CCAAAGGCUCUUUUAAGAGCCCAUCACCGUCUGCGAAGAGCUCAGU
rfam:Takifugu rubripes genomic scaffold, scaffold_6520